CCCUCGGACGCCGCAGCCGGUUGGGAUCAGAGCGGGUAUUCAAGCAGUGUGCGCCGGGCCUCUGUCGAUCACGGCCCCCGCGGGGCUAGGCGGCUUGCGGCGAGAAAGUCGGUAACCCACCCGACCCGUCUUGAAACACGGACCAAGGAGUCUGACGUGUGCGCGAGUCAAGGGGACUUGAACAGGCCCAAAGGCGUAACGAAAGUGAAGCCGUGAUGCCGCGGCCGCAACGGCGACCCGGUCGGUGUUUGAGCGCACAGGUUGGUACCCGAAAGAUGGUGAACUAUGCCCGACCGGGACGAGGUCAGAUGAAAAUCUGAUGGAGGUCCUAAGCGCUUCUGACGUGCAAAUCGAUUGCGAGAGUCGGGUAUAGGGACGAAAGAUCAAUCGAACCAUCUAGUAGCUGGUUCCCUCCGAAGUUUCCCUCAGGAUAGCUGGCGCUCAUCGAAUCGCAUUUAUUAAAGCGAA
rnacentral:rRNA from 1 species